GGAUGUGAGGAUGAUCUGGCUGCAACAUCUGUCACCCCAUUGAUCACCAGGGUUGAUUUGGCUGAUCUGGCUGGCGAGGCAGGUGUCCCCUUCCUCCCUCACCAUUCCAUGUGUGUCCCUCCCGAAGCUGCAUGCUUGGUCGAAGAGGAUGGCCUUCCCCGAAUAGAGACGGACCAGUCUUCGGUCAAGGGUAUACGAGUAGCUGCGCUCCCCUGCUAGAACCUCCAAACAAGCUCUCAACAAUUUUUUAUUUGCUCUGAUACAUGGCAAGUGUUAUGGUGAUGUUCUUGUUUAUAAGAGGUCUUUUAGAACCUCUUUU
rnacentral:snRNA from 1 species